UACGAAGGGGGCUAGCGUUGUUCGGAAUUACUGGGCGUAAAGGGCGCGUAGGCGGCGUGUCAAGUCAGGCGUGAAAGCCCCGGACUCAACCUGGGAACCGCGCUUGAGACUGGCAUGCUCGAGUUCGGGAGAGGAUGGUGGAAUUCCCAGUGGAGCGGUGAAAUGCGUAGAUAUUGGAAAGACCACCGAUGGCGAAGGCACUCGUACUGGGCCAUUACUGACACUGAGAGACGAAAGCUAGGGGAGCAAAUGGG
rnacentral:rRNA from 1 species